AACUUCUUCCCUUGUAUGCCUUCCAAGUAUUGACUGCUCGAUACCUCCUCUGAUCCUUGCCAUAUUGGCGUGGGAUCGACCUUGUCGUCUAGCAUUGUUGGCGGGUUCCACAAAUGCUGGAGAUGAAUUCCUAACCUGGCUUAAUCUGGCAGGACGCUUCUUAUAUGUCGAAGCUAUAGCUAUAUCGAAUGCAAUAUCUCUUUGCAAGUCAAUAUCCAGCUUCUAUGGUAAUGAGGUGAUCAAAGUUAGGAACUCACA